CUGUGUGGUCUAGUGGUAUGAUUCUCGCUUAGGGUGCGAGAGGUCCCGAGUUCAAUUCUCGGCACAGC
rnacentral:tRNA from 1 species